rnacentral:rRNA from 1 species
GACCCGUCUUGAAACACGGACCAAGGAGUCUAACAUGUGCGCGAGUCGCUCGGUCUUGAACAGGCCAGGAGAGGCGAAAUGAAAGUAAAGUUGAUUGGGUUAUGAUCCUCGCUUGCGAAGGUCUCGCGGCCUUCGGAGUGGGGCGCAAUAACGGCCCUCUGUAACUGCUCAUAUCGACAGUUUAGAGGAGUUAGAGCGUACACGUUGGUACCCGAAAGAUGGUGAACUAUGCCUGGGCAAGGCGAAGCCAGAGGAAACUCUGGUGGAGGUCUGUAGCGAUUCUGACGUGCAAAUCGAUCGUCAGACCUGGGUAUAGGGGCGAAAGACUAAUCGAACCAUCUAGUAGCUGGUUCCUUCCGA